GGGGAUUUAGCUCAGCGGCAUAAGCACCUGCCUUGCAAGCAGGCGGUCGUGGGUUCGAUCCCUGUACCG
rnacentral:tRNA from 1 species